rnacentral:rRNA from 1 species
UGGGGAAUAUUGCACAAUGGGCGCAAGCCUGAUGCAGCGACGCCGCGUGCGGGAUGACGGCCUUCGGGUUGUAAACCGCUUUUGAUCGGGAGCAAGCCUUCGGGUGAGUGUACCUUUCGAAUAAGCACCGGCUAACUACGUGCCAGCAGCCGCGGUAAUACGUAGGGUGCAAGCGUUAUCCGGAAUUAUUGGGCGUAAAGGGCUCGUAGGCGGUUCGUCGCGUCCGGUGUGAAAGUCCAUCGCUUAACGGUGGAUCUGCGCCGGGUACGGGCGGGCUGGAGUGCGGUAGGGGAGACUGGAAUUCCCGGUGUAACGGUGGAAUGUGUAGAUAUCGGGAAGAACACCAAUGGCGAAGGCAGGUCUCUGGGCCGUUACUGACGCUGAGGAGCGAAAGCGUGGGGAGCGAACAG